rnacentral:snoRNA from 1 species
UUCUUGCCUGUGAUGGUGUUAAAUAUACGAUGAGUUGUCAACUAUGACUAGCAUGUUACUCUGAGGCAUUUC